GACGAACGCUAGCGACGUGCCUAAGAAAUGCAAGUCGAGCGAGGUUUAGGAGCUUGCUCCGAAGACCUAGCGGCGAACGGUCGCGUAACACGUAAGCAACCUGCCCUAAAGUUUGGGAUAGCCCUCCGAAAGGGGGAUUAAUACCGGAUGUGGAUACUUUUUCGCUUGUGAGGAGAGUAUGCAAAUGCGUGAUGAGAGGGUCCUGCGGCCCAUCAGCUCGUUGGUAGGGUAACGGCCUACCAAGGCAACGACGGGUAGGGGGUCUGGGAGGAUGAUCCCCCACACUGGAACUGAAAC
rnacentral:rRNA from 1 species